rnacentral:rRNA from 1 species
AUUGAACGCUGGCGGCAUGCUUUACACAUGCAAGUCGAACGGUAGAGGGGGCAACCCUUGAGAGUGGCGAACGGGUGAGUAAUGCAUCGGAACGUGCCCAGUCGGUGGGGGAUAACUACUCGAAAGAGUGGCUAAUACCGCAUACGACCUGAGGGUGAAAGCGGGGGACCGAAAGGCCUCGCGCGAUUGGAGCGGCCGAUGUCAGAUUAGGUAGUUGGGUGGGGUAAAAGGCCUACCAAGCCUGCGAUCUGUAGCUGGUCUGAGAGGACGACCAGCCACACUGGGACUGAGACACGGCCCAGACUCCUACGGGAGGCAGCAGUGGGGAAUUUUGGACAAUGGGCGCAAGCCUGAUCCAGCAAUACCGCGUGUGUGAAGAAGGCCUGCGGGUUGUAAAGCACUUUCAGUUGGGAAGAUAAUGACGUUACCAACAGAAGAAGCACCGGCUAACUCCGUG